UUUAGGAAUAUUGGACAAUGGGGGAAACCCUGAUCCAGCCAUGCCGCGUGUGUGAAGAAGGCCUUAGGGUUGUAAAGCACUUUCGUCUGCGAAGAUAAUGACAGUAACAGAAGAAGAAGCUCCGGCUAAAUUCGUGCCAGCAGCCGCGGUAAUACGAAUGGAGCGAGCGUUGUUCGGAAUCACUGGGCGUAAAGCGUGCGCAGGCGGCUAUGAAAGUCAGGAGUGAAAUCCCAGGGCUUAACCUUGGAAUUGCUUUUGAAACUCCAUAGCUAGAGUACUGGAGAGGUUGGCGGAAUUCCGAGUGUAGAGGUGAAAUUCGCAGAUAUUCGGAGGAACACCAAUGGCGUAGGCAGCCAACUGGACAGUAACUGACGCUCAUGCACGAAAGCGUGGGGAGCAAACAGGAUUAGAUACCCCUGUAGUCC
rnacentral:rRNA from 1 species